UACAGAGGGUGCAAGCGUUAAUCGGAAUUACUGGGCGUAAAGCGUGCGUAGACGGUUAUUUAAGUCAGGUGUGAAAGCCCCGGGCUCAACCUGGGAAUUGCGCUUGUGACUGGCGUGCUGGAGUGUGGCAGAGGGAGGUGGAAUUCCGACGUGUAGCAGUGAAAUGCGUAGAGAUGUGGAGGAACACCGAUGGCGAAGGCAGCCCCCUGGGUCAAGAUUGACGCUCAUGCACGAAAGCGUGGGGAGCAAACAGGG
rnacentral:rRNA from 1 species